rnacentral:rRNA from 1 species
AGAGUUUGAUCCUGGCUCAGGAUGAACGCUAGCGGCAGGCUUAACACAUGCAAGUCGAGGGGUAUAAGUCUUCGGGCUUUGAGACCGGCGCACGGGUGCGUAACGCGUAUGCAAUCUACCUUUUACAGAGGGAUAGCCUAGAGAAAUUUGGAUUAAUACCUCAUAGUAUUAUGAAAUGGCAUCAUUUUAUAAUUAAAGUCACAACGGUAAAAGAUGAGCAUGCGUCCCAUUAGCUAGUUGGUAAGGUAACGGCUUACCGAGGCUACGAUGGGUAGGGGUCCUGAGAGGGAGAUCCCCCACACUGGUACUGAGACACGGACCAGACUCCUACGGGAGGCAGCAGUGAGGAAUAUUGGACAAUGGGCGCAAGCCUGAUCCAGCCAUGCCGCGUGCAGGAUGGCGGUCCUAUGGAUUGUAAACUGCUUUCAUACGAGAAGAAACACUCCUUCGUGAAGGAGCUUGACGGUAUCGUAAGAAUAAGGAUCGGCUAACUCCGUGCCAGCAGCCGCGGUAAUACGGAGGAUCCAAGCGUUAUCCGGAAUCAUUGGGUUUAAAGGGUCCGUAGGCGGUUUAAUAAGUCAGUGGUGAAAGCCCAUCGCUCAACGGUGGAACGGCCAUUGAUACUGUUAAACUUGAAUUAUUAGGAAGUAACUAGAAUAUGUAGUGUAGCGGUGAAAUGCUUAGAGAUUACAUGGAAUACCAAUUGCGAAGGCAGGUUACUACUAAUGGAUUGACGCUGAUGGACGAAAGCGUGGGUAGCGAACAGGAUUAGAUACCCUGGUAGUCCACGCCGUAAACGAUGGAUACUAGCUGUUGGGAGCAAUCUCAGUGGCUAAGCGAAAGUGAUAAGUAUCCCACCUGGGGAGUACGUUCGCAAGAAUGAAACUCAAAGGAAUUGACGGGGGCCCGCACAAGCGGUGGAGCAUGUGGUUUAAUUCGAUGAUACGCGAGGAACCUUACCAAGGCUUAAAUGUAGAUUGACCGGUUUGGAAACAGAUCUUUCGCAAGACAAUUUACAAGGUGCUGCAUGGUUGUCGUCAGCACGUGCCGUGAGGUGUCAGGUUAAGUCCUAUAACGAGCGCAACCCCUGUUGUUAGUUGCCAGCGAGUCAUGUCGGGAACUCUAACAAGACUGCCAGUGCAAACUGUGAGGAAGGUGGGGAUGACGUCAAAUCAUCACGGCCCUUACGCCC